AAUCGCAGAUAUUCGCGGGCAUUGGGGAACGAGGUGUGAAUCCUCGACAGUGCCGCUACGGUAAUCCGCCUCCGGCGGAAAGUCCGAGUACCAAACCGCGAAUCGUAGGUCCAUCGUUCUUCGAAGCAAGGAACGGACUCCAC
rnacentral:sRNA from 2 species